rnacentral:rRNA from 1 species
AGAGUUUGAUCCUGGCUCAGAUUGAACGCUGGCGGCAUGCCUUACACAUGCAAGUCGAACGGUAACAGGUCUUCGGAUGCUGACGAGUGGCGAACGGGUGAGUAAUACAUCGGAACGUGCCCGAUCGUGGGGGAUAACGGAGCGAAAGCUUUGCUAAUACCGCAUACGAUCUACGGAUGAAAGCAGGGGACCGCAAGGCCUUGCGCGGACGGAGCGGCCGAUGGCAGAUUAGGUAGUUGGUGGGAUAAAAGCUUACCAAGCCGACGAUCUGUAGCUGGUGUGAGAGGACG